AUUGAACGCUGGCGGCAGGCCUAACACAUGCAAGUCGAACGGAGUGGCGGACGGGUGAGUAAUGUCUGGGAAACUGCCUGAUGGAGGGGGAUAACGUCCGGAAACGGGCGCUAAUACUGCAUACUAUCAGAUGAGCCGAGGUUGGAUUGGCUAGUUGGUGGGGUAAAGGCCUACCAAGGCGACGAUCCGUAACUGGUCUGAGAGGAUGAUCAGUCACACUGGAACUGAGACACGGUCCAGACUCCUACGGGAGGCAGCAGUGGGGAAUAUUGGGCAAUGGGCGAAAGCCUGAUCCAGCCAUGCCGCGUGUGUGAAGAAGGUCUUCGGAUUGUAAAGCACUUUAAGUUGGGAGGCGUUACCAACAGAAUAAGCACCGGCUAACUUCGUGCCAGCAGCCGCGGUAAUAC
rnacentral:rRNA from 1 species